GUUAUCGGGCCCGCCAGCUGAGCCCGGGAGGCCGGAGGCUGGAGGUCCCGGGGAGAAACCAGGGCGGGGCCGCAUCUGCGGGCUGCUGCAAGUCGGGGCCCACAAGGAUAUUGCUUGUGCUGCGGCUGGUUUACGCGGGGGGGAGGGGGGAUUAGGAGGCGCCCUAGCAGCUAAUCCCGGGCUCAUCCCCAGCGUGCCGGGGUGGUCCUUCCCAAGGUUACCUGAAAUACCUUUGUGCUUCCCGGGAUGCGGGGCCCCUCUUCCCUUCUCGCCACCAUCAUCAAUCCCCGACACUUUUGCGGCCCGGGGCAAGCCAUUGCAUCUCUUUGCCUCAGUCUCCUCAGCUGUAAAAUGGGGGUAAAACCGGACCUACCUUAUAAAGUGGUUGUGAGAAUCAAGUGAGACAAUAAUUGUCAAGCUAAUAGCCCGUAGUAAGUGCUAUGAGGAGAGUCUCCUGAAUUCCAGAGGGCAUCCCAGCAUCAUUUCUGAAUCAACUGAUGGCAGUUUCUGCAUCCAGGGCCAAAGACAGAUUGGAUGUGGUUUCAUGACCCUUCAGAAGGCCAGCAGAAAAGAUACCUGAUAUUUAGGGAUAUCAUCAUAUCUCUAGUGGAAGGAUUCCCAGGAGGAGUGAGUUACUCCACUUCAAGUCUUAUCUUCUAAGCUUGAGCCUACUUUCUACUAGACUGUCUUUAUACUCAUAGAACAGUAUAUCAUAUUCUUUUUGUACAGCAAAAUAACUAUGGACAUGUAUACAUAUAUUGUACUUAACAUAUAUAACAUGUAUUGGUCAAUCUGCCAUCUGGGGAAGGACAUGGGGGGAAGGACAGGAAAAAUUGUAACAAAAGGUUCUGCAAUUGGCAAUGCUGAAAAAUUACCCAUGCAUAUAUCUUGUAAAUAAAAAGUUAUAAUAAAAAUAGAAAGGUUUAAUUAAAAAAAAGGAACAGUGUAUCAUAGACUUUUGGGGGUACUAUAUAAAAUACUUCAUUCUAAAAGCUAAGUUUGACUGAUUAAUUUAUAUCAAUUGAUAAUAAUGUCUGGGAAACACUCUGGUAGGGUAAGAAAGCAAACCUUUCCCUUCCCAGUCCCUUUCAAAGCGCUAAAUAUGGUCAUAUUCUGAGCACCCAACCUUGUUAAUGUGAAUGUGAAUUGGGAUAUUUGCUCCAGAGUAUAAUCCUGUAGCUAUAGCUUUAAGGUUUAUGAACUUAUCUUACACAUC
rnacentral:lncRNA from 1 species